AUGAAUAUUAUGUGUUUUUGCCUUUCUUAUUUUUGUGUUAUAACACCCAGCAAAAAUAACAACACAGCAGCAAGGCGAAGUCAAGGAAAAUAUGCGCGACACUUGAGAAAACAAAAGGCGCAUCCGUGACAGAGUCAUCCGCGGAUUUGAACGUGGAACGGGGCGAGCGGGUAUGAGGCAGCAAAGUCGGCAGCCCAGCUUACAUAACACGCCGACCAAAGGGUGUUAACGCUGGACGGAAGCGUCGCAUUGUCUACGCCAGCUACACGAGCGUGGCACUUAAAAGGUGGGAUGCACUACGUUAGACGGGCUCUCAACUAGGCGUUGAUGAAUAUGUUGUGCAACGGCCGGCAGCCACUUGAGUGUUGCGUCCUUGACGUGGACAUAAAAUGGCUCAGCGCAAUUGCAGUUAACGAUGAAUUAUUGGAAUAAACCUGAAGCGGCUCACUUGAGAGGCAACGCACCGCAACUGUCACCUGAUCCGGCAGGUUCGCACCCGCGCACGGCACUAACAAUCCAAUGAAGUUGUUUGUAAUAUUGCGCGGUAGGCUGCGCUGGACAAGUCAGCGGCUGUGUGCAAGAUUUGGACAUAUGUUUCUACUUCUCGUCGGUUUCAAUUUCACAGGCCAAAUAUCUGCCUCACGCUCUUUGCCUAGGGAUAUACAUACGUGUUUGCUGGUGCGGCGGGAAAUGGGAAGCGCAUCUUUCACGCUGAUUUGAUUUUGUUGUUGCCGCCGCCGCUUUCGAUGCUGUUCCCAUUCUCAAGCCCAUGCCCAGUGUCUGGGGGCGUUAUGGUUUAUAAAUUUUCAAAAUGCAUUUCGAUAUUUUUAAGAGCA